rnacentral:rRNA from 1 species
GAGCAAUCUGUGUGACUGCGUACCUUUUGUAUAAUGGGUCAGCGACUUAUAUUCUGUAGCAAGGUUAACCGAAUAGGGGAGCCGAAGGGAAACCGAGUCUUAACUGGGCGUUAAGUUGCAGGGUAUAGACCCGAAACCCGGUGAUCUAGCCAUGGGCAGGUUGAAGGUUGGGUAACACUAACUGGAGGACCGAACCGACUAAUGUUGAAAAAUUAGCGGAUGACUUGUGGCUGGGGGUGAAAGGCCAAUCAAACCGGGAGAUAGCUGGUUCUCCCCGAAAGCUAUUUAGGUAGCGCCUCGUGAAUUCAUCUCCGGGGGUAGAGCACUGUUUCGGCAAGGGGGUCAUCCCGACUUACCAACCCGAUGCAAACUGCGAAUACCGGAGAAUGUUAUCACGGGAGACACACGGCGGGUGCUAACGUCCGUCGUGAAGAGGGAAACAACCCAGACCGCCAGCUAAGGUCCCAAAGUCAUGGUUAAGUGGGAAACGAUGUGGGAAGGCCCAGACAGCCAGGAUGUUGGCUUAGAAGCAGCCAUCAUUUAAAGAAAGCGUAAUAGCUCACUGGUCGAGUCGGCCUGCGCGGAAGAUGUAACGGGGCUAAACCAUGCACCGAAGCUGCGGCAGCGACACUAUGUGUUGUUGGGUAGGGGAGCGUUCUGUAAGCCUGUGAAGGUGUACUGUGAGGUAUGCUGGAGGUAUCAGAAGUGCGAAUGCUGACAUAAGUAACGAUAAAGCGGGUGAAAAGCCCGCUCGCCGGAAGACCAAGGGUUCCUGUCCAACGUUAAUCGGGGCAGGGUGAGUCGACCCCUAAGGCGAGGCCGAAAGGCGUAGUCGAUGGGAAACAGGUUAAUAUUCCUGUACUUGGUGUUACUGCGAAGGGGGGACGGAGAAGGCUAUGUUGGCCGGGCGACGGUUGUCCCGGUUUAAGCGUGUAGGCUGGUUUUCCAGGCAAAUCCGGAAAAUCAAGGCUGAGGCGUGAUGACGAGGCACUACGGUGCUGAAGCAACAAAUGCCCUGCUUCCAGGAAAAGCCUCUAAGCAUCAGGUAACAUCAAAUCGUACCCCAAACCGACACAGGUGGUCAGGUAGAGAAUACCAAGGCGCUUGAGAGAACUCGGGUGAAGGAACUAGGCAAAAUGGUGCCGUAACUUCGGGAGAAGGCACGCUGAUAUGUAGGUGAAGUCCCUCGCGGAUGGAGCUGAAAUCAGUCGAAGAUACCAGCUGGCUGCAACUGUUUAUUAAAAACACAGCACUGUGCAAACACGAAAGUGGACGUAUACGGUGUGACGCCUGCCCGGUGCCGGAAGGUUAAUUGAUGGGGUCAGCGCAAGCGAAGCUCUUGAUCGAAGCCCCGGUAAACGGCGGCCGUAACUAUAACGGUCCUAAGGUAGCGAAAUUCCUUGUCGGGUAAGUUCCGACCUGCACGAAUGGCGUAAUGAUGGCCAGGCUGUCUCCACCCGAGACUCAGUGAAAUUGAACUCGCUGUGAAGAUGCAGUGUACCCGCGGCAAGACGGAAAGACCCCGUGAACCUUUACUAUAGCUUGACACUGAACAUUGAGCCUUGAUGUGUAGGAUAGGUGGGAGGCUUUGAAGUGUGGACGCCAGUCUGCAUGGAGCCGACCUUGAAAUACCACCCUUUAAUGUUUGAUGUUCUAACGUUGACCCGUGAUCCGGGUUGCGGACAGUGUCUGGUGGGUAGUUUGACUGGGGCGGUCUCCUCCUAAAGAGUAACGGAGGAGCACGAAGGUUGGCUAAUCCUGGUCGGACAUCAGGAGGUUAGUGCAAUGGCAUAAGCCAGCUUGACUGCGAGCGUGACGGCGCGAGCAGGUGCGAAAGCAGGUCAUAGUGAUCCGGUGGUUCUGAAUGGAAGGGCCAUCGCUCAACGGAUAAAAGGUACUCCGGGGAUAACAGGCUGAUACCGCCCAAGAGUUCAUAUCGACGGCGGUGUUUGGCACCUCGAUGUCGGCUCAUCACAUCCUGGGGCUGAAGUAGGUCCCAAGGGUAUGGCUGUUCGCCAUUUAAAGUGGUACGCGAGCUGGGUUUAGAACGUCGUGAGACAGUUCGGUCCCUAUCUGCCGUGGGCGCUGGAGAACUGAGGGGGGCUGCUCCUAGUACGAGAGGACCGGAGUGGACGCAUCACUGGUGUUCGGGUUGUCAUGCCAAUGGCACUGCCCGGUAGCUAAAUGCGGAAGAGAUAAGUGCUGAAAGCAUCUAAGCACGAAACUUGCC